rnacentral:lncRNA from 10 species
GUUGGGAUUACAGGUGUGAGCCACCAUGCUCAGUCAGCUUAGUUACUUUAAAGAUUAGGCAGCUGAGCCCAGAAACUAGCUGCUGGGAACAAAGCUAAGAUUGAACUCAGAUCUCCUGGUUCCUGGUUCUUAGUUUCAUACUGGCUGUGAAGGCCUCUGGGAAGAAUGUGUUACAUUGUUGGUCUCCAGGUUUGAUUUGUCCUGGUCCCUCUCUGGCUAAUUAGGGUGAGAGCCGCCAUCCUUCCUUCCCUGAGCUGCAUGCUUGAUUCAAGAGAAAAAUCUUUCUUUUGUCAUACAUGACACUGGCAUGUUUCUUUAGUGAUGAUAAAGGCGACAUGAUCAGUGGCAUGAAAUAAAGGUUUUGGAGUAUAUAAACCAUUUUUACAGCGGCUACAAAUUUUAGAAUGUGUGACUGCUAUUAUGUAUGAUGGUAAUCUUUUCAUAUGAUUGUAUUGGGCAAGUAUGUCUCAUUUCUAGGAUUUUUAUCUGUUUUGUUUGUCUUUUAUGGCAUAUGUGUACUUAGAAGUAAAUAUAGUUGGUACUAUAUAUAAUAUGUACAAUACAAUAAAAAAUAAUUUCAUUGUCCUUAUUUUGUUCUCACUGGACCUGUUGAGGUGGGAGAAUCGCUUGAACCUGGGAAGCGGAGGCUGCAGUGAGCUGAGAUUGCACCUCCAGUCUGGGCGACUUUGAGACCGUGUCUCGAAAA